rnacentral:lncRNA from 1 species
CUAAGAUGGAAGGAGAUGGAGAAGCUUAGCUUGUCUCAAUACACAGAUGUCUUGUGGAUUCAUCAGUUAGAAAACAGAACAGCAGAAAAUUAUCUUCCAGUUUCCAAGCCAAGCAACGUCCUGGGCCUCCAAAGAAAGGUAAGAAAAAUACAACUUACCAAAGAAGCUAGGUUGAAAAGGUCUCUUUGGGGUUCUGAGGCAAGGUCUCAUGGAGCUAGCUUAGCCUCAGAUUUAUGCAGCAGAAGAUGACUUUGAACUUCUGGUCCUCUUGUCCGACCCUCUGGACUAUGAGGAUAACUAGAAUCUUGAUCCUUAGGCUACAGGGUCUCUAUUUGUUAUUUUCAUACUCUCCUCACAUAGGUCAUAGACUCCAUUCCAGACCUAGGGAUAUAGAAACGUGUCGAAAAGACCACAAAUGGAAGCAGUGGAGGACAGUGCCUAUUAGUCUCCAUUUGCCCAUUCAAGGUGUCUGAAACCGGAUCCCUCUCAGAGAGUAGUUUCUCUAGUAACCAUGAGGCAACCAUUAUAAAGCAGAGUGACACCCUGUGGACUAAUCAGGAGUCCUUCUUGAUAGAUGGUGAGGGUAUUCAACCCUGCCUCUUGUCCACUUACAGUCCAGCCACGUUGACCGGUCCACAGCCUUUUCCCAAGCCCUCCAACUGCAGAACUGUACACCCCAGCUGCUUUCCCCCACGGCCUGCCACUGAGCCAUUUUCUUCUGCAGUGCACACAGCUUCUGCUGCCAGGAUGAGUCACCUCGGCACUCAUCCCCUCAGCCCCUCCACUCUGUACUUAAAAUACUCCGGGGCUGGCCGAAAAGAACCCCGCUGUGUGUGAGCACGUGUGUGAGUGUGUGAACGUGGGGUUGGCAGCUCAGCCUUCCGCAGCCUCUGCAGAGCCUGAGUGCAUUCUGUUUGCCAGAGGGCUUUAGAGAGCUGACUGCUCCAGGGAGUUCUGUUUUCGGCUCUGGUUCUCUCAAGCAGGCUGCCAAGUCGCACUCUUCCCUUUGUGGGCACCUCCAUUUUAGUCUCCCUGGCUAGGGGCAGAAGAAUCUUAUAGGUGAUGUGUUCAGUCUCGUCUUCUCAACCCCGUUUCUGGAUGGCCAUCUUGCUGCAGUCAGGAAUAUCUAUCUCAUCCUGCUUUUACCUGCUGGACCCUGUCUCUGCCCCCCAGGUAAAUGCUCUAUCAACUACAAAUGCAACUGGCUGUUUUCGGGAGUUGGAAUCUGUUAUCCUCACUUGGAUAACGCCCCGCCCCAGUCAGUUCUCGGCUGUCAAGUCUGUUUAAUGCUUCACCUCUGUCCACCCACACAGAAUAUUAACCUUGGGCAGAACCAAUCAUAGGAUACCAGAACCAUCUCUUUUCCCUAGCCAGCACAGAAAGAUGUCUGACAGUUGUUCUCUCCUUGAGCCCUUAUACUGAGCUGAAUACACUCUUUCUCCAGUGAACUUGCACAGGUACUGCGGGAACAGCGCUCUUGGUUGGUCCACACCCAGCUGUGUGCUGCACCUGCUGGAGGCACCCCUCCCUCUCGAGAACCACACACAUUUCGAUUUCAACCUGCUGGUACAGCACCCUUCACAGAAGGGGCCCUGGAACAAAAGCCCAGCCCAGUACACUCCAAAGGGACAUUAUGUGCUUGAGUUAUUCAUUACUUGAGUUAGCCGAGGUCAUAGAGCAGGAAGCACGUUGGGAAGAGAGGGAAAAGGUGGCAUUGAGGGUGGGGAAUUAGUCAGGGUGACCUUCCAGGUGAACUCAGAGUCCUAGUUAAGUAUCACAGUUAAGAUGGUCAGUCAUAAAGUCAUACCAAUAGCCUCAAGGUUAGGCAAGGUCACGUGGAAGGAAUCAUAGUUAAGCUAGCUACUUAAUAGCUUUUGCUAUGCACCAGGCACUGUGCUUAACACUUUCCCACAUCCUUCUUUUAAUCCUGGCUACAAUGUAUCACUCUAAUUUUACAGCCCUGGGAACAGCCCUGGUGAACAAGCGCCUUGACCAAAGUGGAGAAGCUGGCAGACCUGGAAGCGGGGAAUGUGAAUACCUCUCUGUCUCGGUUUUCCCAGGGCUGCUCUAGAUGGGAAGAUGGUGAAAUGCAUAAGACAGCUCCAGAUGGUGGAGACUGGCUGGGCAGGUGGAGCUUGAGAUGUGUAAUCCUCCUGCCUAUCUCCAGUCUGGGAUUAUAGGCAGAAACCAUCAAACUCCAGCCAAGUCUCAUCCCUUUUGAAGCUACUUACACCCUACUUAUUCCUUAUGGUUUUUUUUUUCCUGAUUCUGCCCACGGGGUUUCCUCCCUCAUAUAUAUAUGAGGUACACACACACACACACACACACACACACACACACACACACACACCUCCCAGUGGUCUGGUCUGCGGAAUCCCCUCCACAAUGUAAGUUCUGCCUAGAGACAGUGGCAUCAAAUCUACAGGUACAGUCUCUUCUAAUAGCUUACCAACCACAAACUUGGGUUUUUUCCAAAAUAAACGCUGCAGGGGCAAAGCAGAGUGACUUCUUUCUCAACAAGCUGCUCUCACAGUUGUCCUUGACACAGUGGGUCGGCAGCCCCUGUGGACUCCAUGAGACUCAGUUGCUAUGUCUCCCCUGAAUUUUGGGUAUUUUAAGGUUUUCUUCAGUCUUGCAAGUGGGAUUAAUGAGAAAAAGCUCAUUUUUGCAUCCCUUCGGUUUUGUCCUUGGGCCUGCAAGAUUGACCUUGAAAAUGGCAGGGUGUCUUGGGAACCCAUCUCUGUGUUGGGAAGGUCUUUGAUAAGAAGCUAGCUCUUUGCGCGACCGGCCAGGUCGCUCCAGGGACAGGCUUUUCUGCAGCCACUGCAGAAGCCUCGCCAUGUUUUCUGCUGUGUCAUCACCAUAAGAGCUGUGUGGAAAGCUGUUCAGGGGCUCGGUGGAUGAAAAUAAGGGCGGAUUUUCAGCCAACAAGGAUGGAAAGAAUGGUCAUGUCCAACACAGUGCUCUGCGACAUCUUGACAUGUGAGCUGGGUCUUCCCAAGUGCUCUGUCAUUCCAAGAAUUCUACAGUAUAGGGUAGGGGUGCCCCCAGUGAGACAGAACAGUAAGCCAAUGGGAAUACCAGCCACAGACCUGGGCCAGGAGAGUCUUAGGUGGCUGGGUCACGUGCAUAAAUUGUUCCCCGGGGUCUAGACUGGCAGGAGCCACAACCGGUUCCCAGCUACAGCCCAGGGUGGGUUUGGCAAUUGUCCGGAUUGAGGUGGUUCAGGCCGCCCACAAGCACAGACCAGGAGUCAGGAACCGAGGCUGCCCGCUGGGCUGGCCUGCAGAAGAGGGACGGGCCGGAACUGCAACCGCAGUGGCAGAGAGUGCGAGGGGGCGGCAGGUGCAUAAGCAGAGAGGCGGAGCAGAGCUGGGCAGAGUCACUAGCGUCCUGGAGUGACCUUCCCCCACCUGGCCAUGGCCUAGGGGAGGUGGACCUGCAGUAAACCCCGACCAGUACGAAGGGGUAAGACCAGUACGAAGGAGUUGAGGUCUCCGAGGUUCCCAGAGAGCGAUGCAGGUGCAGGCCACAGCAUUGGCGAGCGGGGGCCGGGAGGACGAGGAGGAUUGUCCAGGCACAGCUCGGGGCAGAGAGAGGGCCAGCAGAGCUGCGGGAGCAGUACUCACCCGCCCCCAGUCCCUCUCCGCACCCCUGCUGCGGUGCCAGCCCCUUUAGCUU